rnacentral:tRNA from 1 species
GCGGGCGUGGCGGAAUGGUAGACGCGUCGGAUUCAAAAUCCGAUGAUGGUGACAUCGUGAGGGUUCGAGUCCCUCCGCCCGUA